rnacentral:lncRNA from 1 species
UGGUCGAUCAACAAGCAGGGGCGACAAAGGGGUUCUUCACCCAAACCCUAGUUUACAAGAAAAACCACGAAUUGAAGCCUUAAAUCAGUUAGAAAUCGAAAUCCAAGCAUAAAAUCGUGAUCACCUCGUCAAAGGGAUCAUAAGGCAAGGAAUCCGGAACGUCAAGUGGACACGCCGGAAGUGAUACCCGCGGAAAAGGUGUGCUUUAAAGUGAUGCGAGAUGAGUAUGGAUGAGUUCCCUCCGGAUGAUGAUCAAGACAUUAUCAAGAACCGAACACGUAUUUUGAAGCUUCCGCGUUGACUCAACUUGUUUUAGACAAUGAUUUUGAUGUAAAUGAAUUAAUAACCAUGUCUUAAUGUUUUUAAACUAGUCGGUAGCGAUUAGUAGAAGUUACUUAAAAUUUUUUUUUUACUUAGCAUGAUCAUGUUGCUAUUUCUAAUCGAAAACAUUUUGUAAGUUGGGAAUUUAGUAUAAACUCAUGUAAUAUAUUAAGUAGUCCCAUUAUCAGA